rnacentral:rRNA from 1 species
CAGAAUUCGCCCUUGAAACCGCGAACGGCUCAUUAAAUCAGCUAUUAUCUUUUUGAUCUUGACAUAUCCUACGUGGAUAACUAUGGUAAUUCUAGAGCUAAUACAUGCACCAAUGCUCUGACCUUGAGGAAAGAGUGCAUUUAUUAGAUCAAAACUAAGUAGCUUCGGUCGUUUUUUGCUGACUCAGAAUAACUUAGCUGAUCGCAUGGUCUAUGAACCGGCGACGUGUCUUUUAAGUAUCUGCCUUAUCAAUUUUCGAUGGUAGUGUAUAUGACCACCAUGGUUUUGACGGGUAACGGAGAAUAAGGGUUCGACUCCGGAGAAGGGGCUUGAGAAAUAGCCACUACGUCUAAGGAUGGCAGUAGGCGCGCAAAUUACCCACUUUCGGAAUGAGGAGGUAAUGACGAGAAAUAACGAGACCGUUCUCUAUGAGGCUGGUUAUCGGAAUGGUUACAAUUUAAACCCUUUAAGGAAUUUCUAUGAGAGGGCAAGUCUAGUGCCAGCAACCGCGGUAAUUCCAGCUUUCAAAAUGCAUAGAACUAUUGCUGCGGUUAAAAAGCUCUUAGUUGAAUUUAUGCUAAAGGCUUGGUCCGCUCUUUGAGUGUGUACUAGGUUUUUUGGCUUUUAUCGUCGGUUUUCUUGUCGUUGCCUUUUUUUGGUGGCGGCAAGUGGCUGACAAUUUUACUUUGAAAAAAUCAGAGUGCUUAACACAGGCGUUUCGCUUGUAUGCUUUUUCAUGGAAUAAUAGAAUAUGAUUUCGGUCUAGUUUUAUUGGUUUUAUAGAUCGUUGUAAUGAUUAAAAGAGACAAACGGUGGCAUUCGUAUUGUUGAGUGAGAGGUGAAAUUCUUGGACCGCAGCAAGACGACUUACAGCGAAAGCAUUUGCCAAGCUUGUCUUCAUUAAUCAAGAACGAAAGUCAGAGGAUCGAAGGUGAUCAGAUACCGCUUUAGUUCUGACCGUAAACGAUGCCAACUAGCGAUUCGCCGGCGGUAUAUUGGCCCUGGCGAGGAGCUUCCCGGAAACGAAAGUCUUCUGGUUCUGAGGGAAGUAUGGUUGCAAAGCUGAAACUUAAAGGAAUUGACGGAAGGGCACCACCAGGAGUGGAGCCUGCGGCUUAAUUUGACUCAACACGGGAAAACUCACCCGGCCCGGACACUAUAAGGAUUGACAGAUUGAUAGCUCUUUCAUGAUUUGGUAGAUGGUGGUGCAUGGCCGUUCUUAGUUCGUGGAGUGAUUUGUCUGGUUUAUUCCGAUAACGAGCGAGACUUUAGCCUGCUAAAUAGUUCGCCCAUAUAUAAGUGCAGUGAUACUUCCUAGAGGAAUUUUCGGGCCGCAACCGUAUGAAAUUGAGCAAUAACAGGUCCGUGAUGCCUUUAGAUGUCCGGGGCUGCACGCGCGCUACACUGGUAAAGUCAGCGUGUAUUUCCUUUUUCGAAAGAGAUUGGUAAACCAGUGAAAGUUUGCCGUGAUUGGGAUCGGAAAUUGCAAUUAUUUUCUGUGAACGAGGAAUUUCAAGUAAGUGUGAGUCAUCAACUCGCGCUGAUUACAUCCCUGCCUUUUGUACACACCGCCCGUCGCUGCCCGGGAAUGAGCCGUUCGCGGUUUCAAGGGCGAAUUGCUGACCGAUGGUCCUUUAAGGGAUUGUCUCUUGGUGAAAACCAGCUUAAUCGUAGUGGCUUGAACCGGGC